AUUGCUUCUCGGCCUUUUGGCUAAGAGCAAGUGUAGUACCUGCUCUUAUCAGUUUAAUAUCUGAUCGUCCUCUAUCCGAGGACAAUAUAUUAAGUGGAUUUUUGGAAGUAGGAGUUGGAAUAGGAUCUUGCCCUGUCCACUCCGCACAUCGACCUAGUAUUGCAGUACUUCUGGGAAUGGUGCACCCCCU
ensembl:snRNA Rnu2-62 RNA, U2 small nuclear 62